rnacentral:misc_RNA from 2 species
AACGCACAUUGCGCCCGCCAGCAUUCUGGCGGGCAUGCCUGUUCGAGCGUCAUUUCAACCCUCAAGCUCUGCUUGGUGUUGGGGCCCUACGGUUGACGUAGGCCCUCAAAGGUAGUGGCGGACCCUCCCGGAGCCUCCUUUGCGUAGUAACUAACGUCUCGCAUCGGGAUCCGGAGGGACUCUUGCCGUAAAACCCCCCAAAUUUUCAAUGGUUGACCUCGGAUCAGGUAGGAAUACCCGCUGAACUUAA